AUUUUAAAAUCCUGAACAACCACUGCCAGCCAUAGGCAAUACUGAGCUAGAUGGACCAGUGAUUUGACUUGGUAUUGGGCUGCUUCCUAUGGUUUUGUGAUCAUACUUUAGUUCCAUUAAAAUUACAGAGGCAUACUGAUGAAGGGUAGUAUGCAAAUUUAUUUAAUAAUAAUAACAAUAAGUGCAUGUUGCAUGAGAGUAGCAGUGGAUACAAUGCUAUGCAGUAAGCCCUGCUAUGAUCAGUGGGAUUUACCCACAUGAAAAUGUGACAAGAAUUGCACCCAAAUCCAUUAAUUUCAAUUUGAUUUGAGAAUACCCGACUUCUGAAUUGUAGCUAGCAUUUAAGUUCAGAAUUCCAUAGCUACUGAAUAUGCUACUGAGAUCUUUCUCUUCCUGGUAGAUCCUAAACCGCCCCCCCAUUUGCUUAGAUUUGAGUUCAGUUAUUGUUCCUCAUUGAACAUUACAGCUGCAUACACAAAAAGAAUUGGAUUGUUCUAGCACAGGUACCUUCUGAAUUUGGCUCAUUGUGUCUUAGUGGGAAUAUAAAUAAAGCAUCGCCGCAAAAGCAACUCUAAGAACAAGCAUCAGGUGGACUCUCUCACAGUGAACAAGUAGUCCUCACUACCAUUCAUCCCCCAAAAUGUGUGAAAAGACCCACAGUGCUGCAUGAUUAUACAUCCGUCUUUGUUUAUACAACCUCUCAUCACUUGUUUAUUUUUGUGCCCAUCUUGAUUUUUUCCUCUUCCAGCUUCCUAAUGCAUAUAUUAUUUAUGGUAUGGCUUCAUUGUCAUAAGCAUAUUAGAUCAUAAGAUACAUAUUUGUUGUAUCAAUAUCAUAAUGGCCGUAUAACUCCUAUAAAUGUAAACAUAUAUUUGGGAUCACAUUUGCAAGAAAUUUCUUAAUUAUUUUCAUAAUUGAUGUCAUUUUAAUAUGUAUCCAUUACUUUUGUUCACUUGUUCUCUCUCAUGAAGUGCUCUUUUUCUGAUUUGCAUGCUUUCCUAGGUCUUAGGAAUAAUGUAGAGUAUUUUAGUUUUAUGUGAAAUAUGCAGGAUUUUCUAACUUUCACAGACCUUAAAUUUUGAAAUUUAAGUUAGUGAUUUCUAAUGCUUUUGUUCUUACAGGGCUCUUUAGUGUGAGUUUUCUAGGUCUGCAUACUUUUAAUGUUUAAUUUUAGAAAGUGCUACUUCACAUUUCUCUGAUUUACAGAUGGUAAAUUUUCAAUCACAUUUUCAAUGGCAUAUGGGAAGGAUACAUCCUCAAUGCAUCUAUUGAAAUAUCUAUUGAACGUUUGUGCCUUUUUUGUCAGUAUUUACAGGUUUACCGUAUGUACCUAACUGAAAGUAGGUCAGCUGUUAUGGCUUAAGGAAUACCACCUUGUUUUAUUUGGAUUAUCUGAUGUUUUUGAGAUCUCCUUUCUGAAUAGAGGGUUAUCUGUUGAUCUAUAUUCAUGGCCAUUCCUCUGCCUCAUAUCUAUUUUUAUUUUCUCUCAUUAACGCAUAUAGCUAAUAUAAUAUAAACAUAUAUAAUAUUAAAAAGUAUUUUAAAGGUGAUUUCCCCCCUUUUAUUAUGUGAAAAUCAUUCUUUCAAUUCCUUUUGCAAAUAAUGCAUUCCCUGCACCCUUACACUUUUGUGUAUCCAAUGAUGUGUUCUUAGGAUAAAUCUACAUUCUCCUUCAACAUUAUUUAUUUCAAAAUUUUGUUUUCAGUUAGUUAUGUUGAUGACUAUUUUAAGUAUUUUAAAGUUUCAUCCUUUUGUUUUUGAAAGAAAUUGGCUGCCAGAUCAUGAACAUGUCCUAAUUAACUUAUUUUCUAUUUAUUUCUCCUGGCCUCCGUCUUAUAUCUUAUACAUUACUCAUUGCUAUUGUAACUAUUAAUAAACUGUAUUCCUGUUGUGCUAGA